ACUCUUCUCGAAGAUCAUUGAUGUGUUUGAAUGUUCUCAGAGGAAUUCUAUUCUCGGGUGAUUUGAAUAGAGAUAAAAAGAACACGAAGAGAAGGAUAAAGAAUAAAACCUCUUUGAUUCAACCCUUUCCGCAACUGUGGGCGUGGUAGGGUUACUUAAUUAGUCCCCUGGAUCCCUCAUUCAUAUGAAGCACCAUUCCCCAUCUACUGUCAAAUAAUCGAAAUAACCUUUCAGUCGAAUCUGUCGAUGAUACGUUCUUAUGUGUAAGUAAUUUCAUAUGUUUUUGAUUCAGUUAACCGCCCUAUCUCCCUCCCCAUCACCGAGCAAGAGAAGAAAUUACAUAGGCUUUGGUAUCAGUGACCAAGUUCAAGGUCUUUUUGUGGAGAAUCAAGAUGGCAGAUUGACCAUCUUAUGGUGUAAUUAGAAGGGAAAAGAUAGAUGUUCAUGCGGAGAUGAUAAACUCCCUUAGGCAAUGGACGUCUAAGCCUAUUAAUUUACUUGCAUCUUCACGCCCUCCAGAUUAGGAUUUCAACCGUGGAAUCUGUGCUUUGUCUUUGGUUAUUGAACACGGGUUGUGGAAAGUUAGUCUCUGCUAUGUUGGCAUGUCAAGCUCUUUCUAUAAUUGUGAGUGUGAGAAUAUUACUCUACAGGAGUGUGCAUGGAUGGGUGUUGCCACAUAUGGCUGAGAAAAAAAUUGGUUUGAGAGGGCAGAAAGAAUCAUGGAAAUAUCUCAUGAAUCAAAUACAAGAAUAGAGCUGCAGUACAAAUACUGUUGCACAAAGUAUGGUCGAUUGAUUUCCCCUUCUCGCAGUUACCAUUGUUUGAAAAGACCAGCACCGAAGGGAAAUCUUGCUUCUAUCCCAUACUAAGACAAGUCUUUUAAAUCACGGAUCUUAGGUGCAAUGGUGUCAAAUCUGACUCCACAUAAAAAGGUUACGUGUUCGAUUCACGUCAGAUCCAAUAGCAGCGACCAUGAACCAGUUAAUGCUUUCUAGAGAACCAUGAAGAAUGCCAACACGGCAGGUGGUGUGCGCGGUCGUAUGCAUAUAAUAUUUUGUCAUUAAUUAAUACCAAGGAUGGAGCUAUUGUUGAUGCACUUUGACGUUUAUGUUACACCAUUGUUCAGUGUAAAUGAUUUGGGAGGUAUCAACUUCCUAACAAUGUGCAAAAAUCGUUAACCACUUUAUUUUUCUCCAUCUAUGUAGCUUUUAUUAGCUUAGGUCACUUAAUAAAGGAUAUUUUGGGUUUAACAUAUAAUACUGCGUAAUCAGAUAUCUUUACCAAGUGUCUCUUCUCGAUAAAAGAAGGGAAAAGGGGUUAUAGAUAGACUCUAUAUGACCUAAGAAGUGCGGAAGCACCCGAGUGAAGUUCUUGAAAUAGAAUACGACUAGAAGCGGAUUAGUAAAAACUAAGUACAAAGUCGAGAGGUGAUGUUGAGGCUUCGAAGAAAGAUGGAGGUGAUGCUGAACCAAGACAACCAAAAGAAUGGGAUUGCCCAAGGAUAUACAGAAUGAAAUAGAGGAAUCUUCCAAUCCGUUAGGGAAGAUAUCUUCGCCCAAAGUAAUCAUAUAUGUCAUUUGUACUUAGGAUUCAAGUAAUCAUGUUUAAUGUUCUUCGGAUUCUGAAACAGAUCAACAGUUGUAUAUAUCUUUUUCAAAGUUUAUUAAGAUAUUGACUAUGGAUAGACAUGUUUAAUUAUUUCAACGUUUAGGCGCGCGUCAGAACGCUUUUUAAAUACUGCUUUCGCUAUUUCUCAUACAAUUCGUACAUAUUAUACUUAGUUGCAAAGCUUGGUUAUACCAACUAAUUUCUAUGUCACGUGGUUGGCUACAUUAUUAAAUGAUUGUUAUGAAGAAUAACUCUGAAGGUGCUAACAGUUCCU